ACCUGGCUGGCUCAGUUGGCAGAGCAUGUGACUCUUAAUCUCGAGGUUGUGAGUUCAAGUCCCAUGUUAGGCA
rnacentral:tRNA from 1 species